UUCACUGGUUCAAAAGCUGAGCUACAAGUAUAAUGAAGAGCAGAUUUAGGCCUUAUGAGAGGUACUACUGAAGGGUGACAUAUCAGACAAGAAAAACCCAAUUAGAUAAUUAAAAAAUUGCAAGACAAUAGAGCAAGAAAAGAAAUAAACAACAAUUAAUUACUAAAAGGUGAUUUAGCAGCUUUAAGUAACUUGACAGAGAAAAUAAUAAAACCCCCACGCUUAAGAAAAAAAUAGAAAGCUUUGGACAAGGUGCAAUAUAUCAUGUAACCUAAAAUAUGAGUUUGGCAAAAAACCAUUGUCUGAAGUGUUUUAUGAUCCAACCACCAAUGUUUUAAGGCUAUACAGAAACACUUCUCGAAGAAAUACUAGUAACUUUUCUUCAGUUACAUAACAGAUAAGUAAUAAUACCACUCUAUCAUCCAGAACUACAUUUAAAUCUAUCCAGAAUUCCGUUACAAUAUACAGGUUCUGUACCCAAUAGUUAUUUAACUCAGACCUCAGAAUUUUUCCUGUAUUCUUGCCCAGUGUAUUCCACUGGGAGAUGCAUUUUCUUAGAAUGCUUAAAAGCAUACCCCCAGUUUCCCAACUUUGCUCUUCCUUUCAUUUGAUUAUAGAAAAACUAGGAUUUUUUUUCAGUUUUUUAGUUCUUUUACUUUUAGAGACCUAAUUUCUCCCAUAUGAUCAUUGGAAGUAAUGCUUUUCAUUGAUUUAUUUGAAGUUAUAAUGAGUGAAGGACUAGUCUGGCAAAAAAUUUCUGUGGUCGUUAUGAAAGAAUUGUAUUACAAAUAUGGUAUGGAUUAUCAACAUUUGUAUCAAAAAACAUUCCAGAGGACUCCUGGAACCAUAGCAUUCAGAAGAAUCAGAUACAAAAUACUCAUUUAGUUUGUCAGAUUGUAUCAUGUACUGACAAAAUAUCAUCUUACAAAGAAUGCUGCACAGCAUAACUACAAGAAAAUUAAUAUACUGCAAAAAGGCCCAAGCUCUGUGCAUCUGGAAGACCAAAAGACAAUUGUUUAGCAGCACAGGCAGCCUUCAGUGGACAAUCAGAAUGUGCCUACAGCUGAAGAAGCUCUCUGGCGCGAUGCCUUUGUCACUCUUAAAUCUGAUUUCACAGAACUUGAAAAGAAGUUGGAUGAUACCAAAAAGGAACUGGAGGAGGUGCAUGCUGAUCUUGUCAUGGUCAUGCAGGAACUUGAUUUGGCAAGAGCUGAGGUACUGUUUUGGAUCCUGCUACUGUAACACCAGCAUAUAAUAUUAAAUAGUCCCCAAAAAUACACUGUUGGAUGCUGACUGUAAUAUAAGAAGGGAAUACUUUGAUUCAGGUUUUGUCAUAACUGUGUGCUGUAUGGUAUAUUUUAUCAUCUGGAGAAAUUACA